UACGGGGGGGGCAAGCGUUGUUCGGAAUCACUGGGCGUAAAGCGCACGUAGGCGGAUUGUUAAGUCGGGGGUGAAAUCCUGGAGCUCAACUCCAGAACUGCCUUCGAUACUGGCGAUCUUGAGUCCGGGAGAGGUGAGUGGAACUCCGAGUGUAGAGGUGAAAUUCGUAGAUAUUCGGAAGAACACCAGUGGCGAAGGCGGCUCACUGGCCCGGUACUGACGCUGAGGUGCGAAAGCGUGGGGAGCAAACAGG
rnacentral:rRNA from 1 species